rnacentral:lncRNA from 1 species
GAGACUGGGAGGGGAAAUUCAGAAUUUUGGGGAGCCAAAAAGUUUUGGGAGGGUCUGGGGUGCCCCAAAUUUCAGCGUGGGGGGAUUUUGGGGUGUCCCCGAGCUGAUUUUGGGGGUCCCCCAAAUGAACAUCUGGGAGAAAUUUGGGAUUCACCAACACGGGAAGAACCCAAACUCCAAACAGGAACCAAAAGCCUCGAAAUGAGGGGGUGGGGGGGACCCUGGAGACCCCCGAAUUUGACCUCGGGGGGGUUUUGGGAUGUCCCCGAGCUGAUUUUGGGGUUCCCCCAGAUCCACAUCUCCAAGAAAUGGGGGUUCACCAAGUUCAACGCCGACGCUUUCGAGGAGAUGGUGGCUCAGAAACGCCUCAUCCCCGACGGCUGCGGCGUCAAAUACGUCCCGGCCCGGGGUCCCCUGGAUCGCUGGAGGGCUCUGCACGCCUGAGACCCCCCAAAUCCUCCCCAAAAUACCCGGGGAGCCCCCAAAAUACCCGGGGAGCCCCCCAAAAUCCGCGGGGAACCCGAGGACGUGGAGGGGCCCGGGUGGGUUUGGGGGCCUGGGUGGAAUUAAAGGUUUUUGUUCCUUGGUCGGUGGCGCCUUUUUGGGGGAUUUUGGGGGGGUUUUGGGGGUCUCAGAAGUGGUGGGGUCCCCAAAUUUUGCCUCGUGGGGUUUUGGGGGGUGCUGGAAGUUCAGGGAAGGGCCAGGGGGUCCCCAAGUUUCCUCCAUGGGGGUCCCCAGGAGGGGUCAGGGGUCCCCAAAUUUGUUGCUCUGGGGUUUUUUUUGGGGGAGGGGUCCCCAAGCUUUAUCACCUCCUCCCCCCACGCCUAUUUUUGGGGAGGGGUCCCCAAUUUUUCCCACCCCCCCAAACACGAGGCAGCACAAAAAGGGGUGAAAUGAGUAAAAACGAGGUUUCCUUGUUUUUUUUCCUUAAUUCCCAAAUUCUCCCCCCCCUCCCCCGACGGACACACACAGAGGUGGGGGAGGGGAAACACCCCAGAAUUUGGGGGUUGUUUUGUUUUGUGGGGAGGGGUCCCAGGGCUGGUUUAGGACCCCCCCCAAACCGAGCCCGGGCUGAGAAGAGGAAGCGACAAAAGUGUAAAAAAACCCUAAAAAAAUCCCUAAAUAACCCCAAACUAAGCACGGCCACAGACACGACAAUG